rnacentral:rRNA from 1 species
AUUGAACGCUGGCGGCAUGCCUUACGCAUGCAAGUCGAACGGCAGCACGGGGCAACCUGGUGGCGAGUGGCGAACGGGUGAGUAAUGCAUCGGAACGUACCUUUCAGUGGGGGAUAACGUAGCGAAAGUUACGCUAAUACCGCAUAUUCUGUGAGCAGGAAAGCAGGGGAUCGCAAAACCUUACGCUGAGUGAGCGGCAGAUGUCGGAUUAGCUAGUUGGUGAGGUAAAGGCUCACCAAGGCGACGAUCUGUAGCGGGUCUGAGAGGAUGAUCCGCCACACUGGAACUGAGACACGGUCCAGACUCCUACGGGAGGCAGCAGUGGGGAAUUUUGGACAAUGGGGGCAACCCUGAUCCAGCCAUGCCGCGUGAGUGAAGAAGGCCUUCGGGUUGUAAAGCUCUUUCGGCCGGGAAGAAAUCGCACGGGCUAAUACCCUGUGUGGAUGACGGUACCGGAAUAAGAAGCACCGGCUAACUACGUGCCAGCAGCCGCGGUAACAC